UUUGGCUAUAGGUUUUUUCAUGAAGAUGUUAUUAUGAUCUCAAUAUGUUUUUCAUGUUUCACGUUCGAAAACUCUUAGAUGCUUAUUAAAAAUAAGUUUCAUAUUUAAUAUUUUUUUUUGUUUUUAAUAAUUUUUUUUUAAAAAUUAGAUGAGAAUUUUUAUAUUUUUAAAUUUCUCUUGUCCAGCUAAGAAAUAUAAAUUUUUGCCCAGUUAAAAAUUAACUAAAUACAUAAAAACUUAAAAGCCGAUACAGUGAAAAUAUUUAAAAAAGAUCUAUCAUCUCUAAUUAGGCGUUAUUUUAUUAUAUUUCUGGUAGAUUCAGGAAGUUUCAAUAUUUAUAUGAUUCCUCAUCGAAACAAGAUAAGAAUGGAUCUCGUCAGGUAUCAAUCGUGACAGAUUAUUUUAAAACUUUUUGAAAAAUUUUCAGUGCCUUCCAUAUAUAUUUUAGAGGAGAAUAUUAUUAGCGUGAGUCACGACUCACGCACAGGCCAGGAUGCAUUCAUGUCAGUGAUGUCACAUGGAGAGAGAUAAUAUUAUUAACCCAAGUCAACUGCCAGCCAGGAUGGAUGCAUGUCACAUGGAGAGAGAGAAUAUUAUUAUCGCAAGUCAACUGUAGACGAGGAUGCAUGCAUUGUGUAGACGUGUCAAACCGGCGUGCUAACACCGGCACGUUAAAAUUUUGGUAGGGACACGGUGAUAAGUCAGAUUGGGCUACUGUUUUGGGGUAUAAAGCACGGCAUGAUAUGUUUAUGAAAGCAAAUUUUAAAUAAUUUUAAAUUUUUGACGCAUUAAACUAAUUAUAAAAAAAUCAUAACAUAGUACGGCACGAGUACGAUUAGGCACCGCAAGGCACGAGAUGCAAAUGGGCCGAGCCAAGCCUAGAUUUUUAUCAAAUAAAAAACGACACGGCAUGAAGUAUGAUAAACACAUAAAUAAAUUGGCUGAGCAGAUACGACAUGACAUGUUUAACACCUCUAACAUUGUGUACUAGCUGUGUCGAACGCUAUAAUUCAACUUGUUGGAUUUUACCCACAAUCAAAAGCACAUACAAUUAACACGCAUGCACCAGAAGAUUGAAUCAUUGUAUGUUCAUGUACAUUUGCAUAAGUUAUAGUAGUAUUAGUUAAUAAUAUUUUAAAAUUACAUAAAUUCGUCAUUUUAAAUUAAAAUAAGUAUUGUAUUUCAUUGUGAAGAUUACACAUUCUGUAUUUUAGAUGUGCAUUCACCUCUCAAAAAUUAAAAUCCUCCAUUCACCCUUAAAUGCAACGGCGCAUCGAACAUGACUCUCAUAUAUGAUUGGUUGUUUAAAAUUACACUUGAAGGCAAUUUCAGUGCCAUUAAACUUCUACUUUGUGAUAUGAUAUAGACACUCUAUCGUCUUCCGACUUUUCUUGAAAAAUACCUGAUUUUGGACCAAUUUGAUUACAAAACUGUAGCACACCGGACUUGUUCACCUAUGAACGACUCGAAUUGACGAAUACACAGCUCAAGUAUUUUUUCUUAUUUGUUUUUAGUGAGUUUGUUUUUUAAAUUUUCAAUUCCUUUAUUCAAAACGAAUCGGAAAUAAUGCAUUUUGAUCAACAGAUAAAAAGUUUACUGAAAAGAUACAAAACAAAACUUCUUAAAAAGAACCAACCAAACGAAACCUAAAAAACCCAACCCUUGCACGAAUUACAAUAAGAAAACAAAUUACAAUACUACCGACAAAUAGGCUACGUAAACAAAAACUAGGCAUACAUACUAGAAAUCACACAAAAAGAUGCACAAGGAUCAUUUUGUUGCACCAUUACAAAAUAAAUCCACAUCCAAGUUCCCAAUAGAUAAUUCAAAACUGCUCAUAUAGGACGCUAAUCUUGUAGCUCACAUUAGCUAAUGAUAUUUGAUCGAGCCACCAAGAUAAGUCCAGGACCUUAUUUUAACUUUUCAUCGGGAUGGAGUCAAGACGGCCUGUCAUCUCCUCAGUCAAAUAAUUUUUAAAAUCUCUAUUUGGCCUUUCCUGAAAAGUUUUGAUUCUCGCAUCACCAAUUUCAUCACUAAAACCGCAGAACCCCGUUUCUUGUUCACCUCCAAAUUGUCAAAUUCUGAAACUUACAAAGCUUAAAUAUUUUUUCCACCACCCCGUCUUCUCUUCUUGGGGGAGGAAAGGAAACAUCCAUGAACUCCGCCAGUGUCUUAAGGUAAACUGCGGGCUCUCUCUGCAUAUCCUCGUACUUCAAAAACAAUAUGUUGUUGGGCGAUUCUUGGCUUACUUUCCAAUAUCCCAACACGUGAUCCCAAAAGGGACCAUACUCUGAAACUCCCUCACAAAAUAACUCAAACGCCUCGGGAAACGAAAGCGGCGGGAGGUCCUUAGAUUUGAUUUUAUUCAUGAAAUGCCACUUGGAAACAAGCACGUCUUUUGGGUCGCGCCAAAUGUAGACAAACUUGCAACCGCAUAACUUGACAGAUAUAGGAAUUAGACUGUAUGGGAUGUGAGUAGCAAAUAGUCGAGGCGAAGGAA
rnacentral:lncRNA from 1 species